rnacentral:tRNA from 1 species
GGCGGAAUGGCGGAACUGGCAGACGCACCAGACUCAAAAUCUGGCGUUCUUCACUGGACGUGAGGGUUCGACCCCCUCUUCCGCCACCA